AAAUCAUUGAGACAGCACUGACUUUCCUUCAUUGUUCAGUCUGAGCUCAAACUACAGAAUCAUGUUACUCAUCUCUUCUGUUUUCAUUUUUAUCCUCAGUUACUGUAAAGCGAAUGGGAAUGUCAUCAGACCAAACCAACCGUCUGUAGUUUUAACUGAAGGAAGCAGCACCACUCUGUCCUGUACAUAUAAUGGAUCAGCUUACAGUCUCCACUGGUAUCGACAGAAGCCUGGAUCAAGACCAGAGUUUCUGCUGCUGAUUGUUGAGGCUUCUAAGUAUGUCACAAGAGCUGACCAACCUCAUCCACAUAUGUCCAUCAGACUCCAUGAGGACAAACGUGUGGAUCUGAUCAUCUCCUCUACUGCUUUAUCAGACUCCGCUCUGUACUACUGUGCUCUGGAGCCCACAAAGGUGGAGCUCAGGAACCAUCCUACUGUAGAUCAGUCUCGGUUUAAAAACAGAGCAGACAUAAAUAGAGUCAGUCCUACUCUAGAAGAGAACUGUUAG